AUUAACGGUCAACGAAUCCUCAGCAGCACGAUGGCUACAAUUUGCAGUCAACAGUCAUACAGUCAUCAAUACAACUGACUCGGAUCAGCAUUCUGUUGCGACGCACCAAUUUCUCGGGUUUCGGGUUCCGUCGGAACUCUUAGGAUACCACACUGCUGGAAUCAGGCGCUGACGACAAAAGGACACCGCGCGGCGUGGACCAGCGCUCUUCGAGGUUGGAGGGGUUUCAGAAUUCCAGAUUACCUUUAUUUAGUCGUCACUGCUCUGCGCUCUUUUUGAACUGUGAAAGAGCAUUGUGUUGCCUGCACUUGCACAUUGAUGUGGAGAUGAGAUAUGAAGAUGUGUCAUGCAUAUGAAGUCGA
rnacentral:sRNA from 1 species